rnacentral:rRNA from 1 species
UCCGUAGGGGGCAAGCGUUGUCCGGAAUUAUUGGGCGUAAAGGGCGCGCAGGCGGUUUCCUAAGUCUGAUGUGAAAGGCCACGGCUCAACCGUGGAAUGGCAUUGGAAACUGGGGAACUUGAGUACAGGAGAGGAGAGUGGAAUUCCACGUGUAGCGGUGAAAUGCGUAGAGAUGUGGAGGAACACCAGUGGCGAAGGCGGCUCUCUGGCCUGUAACUGACGCUGAGGCGCGAAAGCGUGGGGAGCGAACAGG